AAAACGGCCCUUCUCAGGGCCACGAAGUCUUUUAUUUAAUAUUUUU
rnacentral:ncRNA from 1 species